rnacentral:rRNA from 1 species
AGAGUUUGAUCCUGGCUCAGAACGAACGUUGGCGGCGUGCCUAAUACAUGCAAGUCGAGCGAGAAAACCGGGGCAACUCGGUGAGUACAGCGGCGGAAGGGUGAGUAAUACAUGGACAACGUACCUUCCAGUCGGGGAUAACCCUCCGAAAGGUGGGCUAAUACCGGGAAUAAUGGCCGGAGGCGGCAUCGUCUCCGUCCCAAAGAUGCAAAUCGCUGGAAGAGCGGUCCAUGGCCUAUCAGCUAGUUGGUGGGGUAACGGCCCACCAAGGCGAUGACGGGUAGCCGGACUGAGAGGUUGAACGGCCACACGGGGACUGAGACACGGCCCCGACACCUACGGGUGGCAGCAGUAGGGAAUAUUGCGCAAUGGGCGAAAGCCUGACGCAGCGACGCCGCGUGGGGGAUGAAGGCCUUCGGGUUGUAAACCCCUUUCAUGAGGCAAGAACACUGACUACCUCAGGAAGAAGCACCGGCUAACUCCGUGCCAGCAGCUGCGGUAAUACGGGGAGUGCGAACGUUGUUCGGAUUUACUGGGCGUAAAGGGCACGUAGGCGGCCCUGCAAAUCAGUCGUGGAAUCCCGUCGCUUACCGGCGGAACGGCGGCUGAAAAUACAGGGCUCGAGGGCGCGAGGGGUGACUGGAACUCCUGGUGAAGCGGUGAAAUGCGUAGAUAUCAGGAGGAACGCCGGAGGCGAAAGCGAGUCACUGGCGCGUUCCUGACGCUGAGGUGCGAAAGCUAGGGGAGCAAACAGGAUUAGAUACCCUGGUAGUCCUAGCCGUAAACGAUGGACACUAAGUGGGGGGGGGCUUGCCCUUCUCUGCUGGAGCUAACGCGUUAAGUGUCCCGCCUGGGGAGUACGGCCGCAAGGUUAAAACUCAAAGGAAUUGACGGGGGCUCGCACAAGCGGUGGAGCAUGUGGUUCAAUUCGAUGCAACGCGAAGAACCUUACCCGGGCUUGAAGUGAAGGUGGUAGGAACCGGAAACGGCAACGACCCCGAAAGGGGAGCCUUCAUCAGGUGUUGCAUGGCUGUCGUCAGCUCGCGUCGUGAGAUGUUGGGUUAAGUCCCGUAACGAGCGAAACCCCUGUCUUCAGUUACCAACGGGUCAUGCCGGGAACUCUGGAGAGACUGCCCAGGAGAACGGGGAGGAAGGUGGGGAUGACGUCAAGUCAGCAUGGCCUUUAUGCCUGGGGCUACACACGUGCUACAAUGGCCGGUACAAAGGGCUGCAAACCCGCAAGGGGGAGCCAAUCCCAAAAAACCGGCCUCAGUUCAGAUUGAGGUCUGCAACUCGACCUCAUGAAGGCGGAAUCGCUAGUAAUCGCGGAUCAGCACGCCGCGGUGAAUACGUUCCCGGGCCUUGUACACACCGCCCGUCACACCACGAAAGUUUGUUGUACCUGAAGUCGUUGGCGCCAACCGCAAGGAGGCAGACGCCCACGGUAUGACCGAUGAUUGGGGUGAAGUCGUAACAAGGUAACC